UACGGAGGGUGCAAGCGUUAAUCGGAAUUACUGGGCGUAAAGCGCGCGUAGGCGGCUUUGCAAGUCGGGUGUGAAAUCCCCAGGCUUAACCUGGGAACUGCAUUCGAGACUGCAUUGCUAGAGUAUGGGAGAGGGAAGUGGAAUUUCCGGUGUAGCAGUGAAAUGCGUAGAUAUCGUAAGGAAGACCAGUGGCGAAGGCGAGUCUCUGGACAGCAACUGACGCUGAGGCACGAAGGCCAGGGGAGCAAACGGG
rnacentral:rRNA from 1 species